GUGCCAGCAGGCCGCGGUAAUACGGAGGGUGCAAGCGUUACUCGGAAUCACUGGGCGUAAAGAGCGUGUAGGCGGGUAUAUAAGUCAGAAGUGAAAUCCAAUAGCUUAACUAUUGAACUGCUUUUGAAACUGUAUACCUAGAAUGUGGGAGAGGUAGAUGGAAUUUCUGGUGUAGGGGUAAAAUCCGUAGAGAUCAGAAGGAAUACCGAUUGCGAAGGCGAUCUACUGGAACAUUAUUGACGCUGAGACGCGGAAGCGUGGGGAGCAAACAGGAUUAGAUACCCUGGUAGUCCACGCCCUAAACGAUGUACACUAGUUGUUGUGAGGCUCGACCUUGCAGUAAUGCAGUUAACACAUUAAGUGUACCGCCUGGGGAGUAUGGUCGCAAGAUUAAAACUCAAAGGAAUAGACGGGGACCCGCACAAGCGGUGGAGCAUGUGGUUUAAUUCGACGAUACACGAAGAACCUUACCUGGACUUGACAUAGUAAGAACUUUCUAGAGAUAGAUUGGUGUCUGCUUGCAGAAACUUAUAUACAGGUGCUGCACGGCUGUCGUCAGCUCGUGUCGUGAGAUGUUGGGUUAAGUCCCGCAACGAGCGCAACCCUCGUCAUUAGUUGCUAACAGUUCGGCUGAGAACUCUAAUGAGACUGCCUACGCAAGUAGGAGGAAGGUGAGGACGACGUCAAGUCAUCAUGGCCCUUACGUCCAGGGCUACACACGUGCUACAAUGGGGUAUACAAGAGCAGCAUACGUGACGUGGAGCAAAUCUCAAAAUAUCUCCCAGUCGAUUGUAGUCUGCACUCGACUACAUGAGUGGA
rnacentral:rRNA from 1 species